GGGCCUGUAGCUCAGUUGGUUAGAGCAAACCGCUCAUAACGGUUUGGUCGGGGGUUCGAUUCCCUCCGGGCCUACCA
rnacentral:tRNA from 1 species